CGUAGGGCGGUGCGGGUGAGCUGCUGUCUGCGGCGGCCCUCAGAAAAGCCCGGUAUCUUAAGGAGAAACGAAUCCGUCCGUUGCUGUUGCUGCAGGCCCGCGUUUAUCCGUACCGCUUAGUCGGAAUGUCUGCAAUCUACUUCGCGUUUUUCUCUCGAGAUGUGUUUGCUGAGCAUGCAGUCCGGCUAGCACAGCAUUCCUUGGCUCCAGAUUUGGAUUUCCAAAAGUAGCAUAAACGUAGUAGUGGCUUUUCAAGCACAGUAAUUCGUUUCUUUAACGUAACUGACAGCAUUUACCUACUUCGGCCGCCAAGUGUAAACUAUAAUGCUUUUAAACUCGGUAUUUAUUUAGAAAACCUGUAGGAAUUAUAAACGGAGGAUUCAGAAAAUACGUUCCCUUUGUAUGCAGAGCUCUCCUCAUCCCUUAAAGAAGUUGUGGAGGAACGCAGUGCUGAGGGCUGUGCGAUGCAGAUACCCAGCGGAGCGCUCGACCUGCCGCUGUCAGCAGGGAACGGCCGCGCUCGGGUCGCGUGAAGCCCCUUGUGGAGGGCCGCAGCUGUAACCCAGCAGGAGUCAGGGCAGACACCUCCUGCAACGGUUCUGCUUUAGUCUGCGAUACAGAAGAACAGACACACAAGCUGAUCCUUUGGAAAGAUAAGAAUAGAUACUUUGGAUGCUGGGUCUGGUAAAUCUGCUGCUCUGGGUGGGUUCAAUGUGACUUUAUGGGCGCUUACAGAAGGUGCUGCUUAACUAAACAAACCAAUCCUGACGUGUGAGUAAGACCGCAAGGUAUCUGUUAGCAAUUAAUUCCUGCCGUCCAGAAAAGGCAGUGUGUGUUGUGACUUGGAUACAAGUCUCAUUUAUCAGUUCCCAGGUUAGCUACUUAUAAGUAGUGAUUCUCUCAAUUAAUUGGGUGUAUCUUACAAAGAUACUUGACUUACAAAUUGAAUCUCAGAAGGCUGUGGUUCCAGAGUCGGGGUUUUGGGGGCGAGAUGAGCUUAUGUUUUAUCCAACUGGCCCACAAAGUCCCGCUUUUGGUGGUCACUUUGUUCUGCAAAGGAAACCAAUGCGUUCUGGUCUUACAAUGGACACUAAACUUAGCACUAAGCUACUGCUGCACUCAGUAACGGGCUACUGCACACUUAAAUAUGCAACAAUAUUUCAACUUUAACGUCACCUUCAGCAGUAAAAUGUGGACAGGUAACACUAGCAUCCCCCAAAUUAAACAUGAAAUGGCUUUCUAAGCACUGUUGUAGCUUAUAAAAGGUCUCUGUUUUUUUCUCCAUAAAAACCUAGCAGAAGACAAAGUGAUGUUUCAAAGAGUAGUUGUUUGGCAUAAGUGAACUGGGAGAAAAGAAAAGAUAUUUCUAGCAAAGAGAGACAGCUUAAACCCGCAGAAAAUGGUCCAACCUGAAGGAACAUUUCUGUUGUCCCCUCCACAGUUCCUUUGCUGACAAACUAUGUCAGUUGCACGUCUCUCCCUCUCCAGACAGCCUGUUUCUUCAGUGCGUGCCCAGUGUGUGUGCGUGUGCAUGUGCGUGUGCAUGGUCUGUAUCUUUAAAUCAAUGUGAAGAUGACUAAUUUGUGUACUGAUAAAAGAUGUUAUAGCAUGCUGUGACGAGUAAGUCUGAGCUUGGUAAGGCUAUUCAAGUCUACGCUACUGCUUACAUUUUGAUACCAGCAGCCUAAAGGAUCUAAGCAUAAUUUGUACUUGUAGGUGACUUUUAAAUGAAAUUCUAGUAGGUGUUUAAAGGUUGUUAGUGGAUAAGUUGAGCUUUAUUGUGGCUCCAACUGUAGCACACGUAUAUUGAUGACAGAAUGAAGGACACUAUAAAUUGUACAGUGUGAGAGGCACUUCCAGCACUGACCUACUCAAACUGCGUCCAUGUGAGCACUUCAGACAAGCGUGGCAAUUCAGCUGAAGUUACGCAGCAGUGCAGGGUUAAAAAAAUAAGGUGUUGGUUUGGGACAUAUCAGGUGAUGAUAUGCAGGAUCUGUAUGUUGAAGCAAAUUGAUACUGUGCUGAAUUACUGAUAUUUUUCCAUGGAAUUCUGCUCUUUCACAUUGUAUAGCUAUAUAAUGGCUACACAUAGGAAAUAGGACAUAGCAAAACCUCCGUGCAACACAUUACUCGCUUGUUCAAGACUGAAAUCUGACUUGGGAGAGCUAAGGUCACCAUUGUGCUACUUGUAUGCUUUUUAGCUCCUGUCCUGCGUGGAGUAAUACUGUUCCAGAGCAGCGUUUUUCAGAAGGUUAAGUUUUCAGGAACUGAUUAAGCUGUUGGUUUAUUUUUAUUUUGGAUUUAUAGUGCUUAGUUUGUGAGUACACUGCAGACGUGUCCAGUGUCACAAGUUGUGAGACUCAGGUUUGUUUGGCUCCUGUGGACUCACUGCCAGUAGUCCAAGAACAGAAGAGCAGAGAAUCAGGUACUGGAAAGCAGGCUGAUUGGAAGGUCUGGCUCUCAAGGAAACCUCUCAAGGAAACAAGAGAUCAGCUCUGCUCUGCUGCUCAUGGACUUUUUCCUCAAGGCUCUUCAAUUGAAGCAUGUCUUUUUGUACUGUUUCAGUGAGGCGUGCUUCACAUUUUGUUAAACAGCUAGAUUUGAUUUUUUUUUCCAGAUAGAUUCUAUCUCGUUCUCUACUGAUGAUAAAGAAAAUGCACAUGUACUCAUUCAAGUGCAAUUAACACAGUUAUAAAGUGUGUAUGACCAUAAGUGGCUACUGAGCACUCUUAAAGAUCAUAGCGAUAGUUCUGUAGGCUUUUCUCACCCAAAAUUGUUCAUCACCUUCUUUCCCAUCACUAAGCCUACAUAAUGAGCCCCUGUUUCUCUCGUGUGCAGUAAAAUGGACAGUUUCUACUGUGAUGGAUAUCACAUGUAGCUGUUAAGCUUUAAAUGUAUAUUUACCUUAUACGUGUUAACCAAAUUAAUCACAAUUAGAAAAAGCCUUGAUUGAUACCCUAAACAUUUAUCCUGCAAAAAUGUGAUCUUUGCUGUGGUGAUCUCCUCAGGGCUUCUGUGCAUGGUGGGGGUGGCCCCAGCACCACUGCUCCUGGAGCGUCCCGCAGUGCCCAGCAUCAGCAAUGGGACAGCCAGGAUCCAUUUGUUUGAAAAGCAAGAAGGAAUUUAGGGAAGAUGAAAAGAAGGCAGUAUAUUCGGAAUCAAAAUUCAUUUUUCUCGAGAUAAAAAGUGUCACAAAGUAUCGAAAAGAUAGUAUUUAGAAAGAUCAACUCCAAUUAUUUAUCACAUUCAUCAUUUAUAAAAUUGAAAGCCCUACUAGUUGUUUUCUAUGUAAAAUAAAUUAAAACUUCAUUUUUAGAAUGACUUUUCAGCAUUUUGAAGCAAAGCUUUAAAAAACAGCUUAUGCACAGUGAAGCAGGAGAGGGUUAUCCGGUGUCUGUCUGCUCACUUUAGAAAUAUGUGGACACAUUACUGGAAGCAGCGAGAUCAGAACCGGGUGGUAUGGCUUGAGGAUUGCUCUGUGGCCUGAGUUCUGAAGCAGGGCCUCAGCAUCUGACAUGCCCUGACCACAAGUUACCACAAGAGUUUUGUGACUGCCCUCCAAUACGGCCAUUGGGAAGGAGAGGGUGGCAGUGACCAGAGUUUGGGAACUCGGGACCUGGCUCCAAGCUGUACCGUAGUACAGGUUGUGAGGUCAGUCAUCCCCCUCUGUGAGGCUGUCUGGAGUUCUUCCAGGGCAGGAAUGCGGGCAGCCGUGGUGUGUUGUGCUGGCUUGCUCUUCCCUCGCAAUUCUAACUGUACGCAUCAGCACUGCUCGCCUGCACAAGGCCUGCUCCACACACCGAAAGAAAAUCUGUUCACAUGCAUCUCACAGAGGUAUCAUCACCUUUUUUUGUCUUGAAAAUUGUAUUUGCUGGUUAUGAAAGAAAAAAAACAGUCACAUUUAAAACAUUUUUUAAAAUAUUAGAGGAAAAACUGCUCUGAUGUGGAAGCUGCACCUGUGGUGGAAGAAGUGGAAUAAAAGCGGUUCUAUUCGACGUAUAAAGCUGCUUCAGAACGUGCAGCUUAAGAGUACAGCAUUCUGGUGAAAUGGAGGACUUUAAGUGAGUUUAAGUCACCGCUUGCCCUGUUCUCAGUGCAAAUAACUAAAUAACUCUUUGCAAGGUAAUAUGCUUUUUUCCUCAAGUGAUGCAAACAUUUGGGGAAUUUGGUAAAUGCACAGGCAUUGAAAAAAGAACAGAGAAUUGACUUUUCUGCCUUUGUCAGAGUGUGCCAGCAGUUCUGCCGUGGGGCCGGGCCGGUCCUGUCGGUGGCUGCUGGGUGCACAUCUUUACUGGUAAUCGUUUUAAUAGAUUCGUGGCCUUUCCUUACAAGCUGACAUAAUGCAGGAGCAAGAGAUCCGUGUCUGAAAGUGACAGUUUUGUAGGCCGGGAGAAAUAAAGAAAGACAAAAUGUGUUCUGUCAUCUACGACAGGACACGUGUACACGCUUUUUGGAAAGGCUGAGAAAAGGCACUGCAGGAUGUUCCGGGAUCGGUAAUAGAAUGCAGUGAUUUUACUGCUGGGAUAUUUCUAUUUGUUAUCUAUAAAUUCUGUUGGAAACAUCAGUCUGUAGAGUCAUCAGAACCUAAGUUUUUACUUUGUUGUUGCUGCUGUCCAUAUAAAAGUUUUCUUUUGCAACAAAAGGCCUCCUUGAAAGCAGGCAAGGCCUGGCAGCUGGCACAUGGGUGCUGCUGGAAGCCACCGGAGCUGCAUCAACACCAAAUUCAGGCAAGAUCACAGUAAUGUUUCUGGAACAUGGGUACAGGAACAAAGACCGAAUGGAUUACAUAGCAUGGCAUAUUAAAUAACAUAUAAGCAAUUGGUUACUGUUUUUUUUUUGUUUGUUUGUUUGUUUGUUUUCCCCAACAAUAUUGUAUUCUAUAUAUUAUGCUCCACAGAUCCAUUGAAGAAUAUGCCCACUAAGUGGUAGUUAGUGUGUAGUAGUGGUAGUAGUUAAUUACUUUAAAAGAGACUUUUCAUUAGGCUUGUUGAUUUGAAUAGGCAUAACAGUUCCAGUGUGCUGCUUUGCUAUGGAGAUUUGUAAAUAUGCAAUAUGCAGUCUUAACCAAAGGGGGAUUCCUCUAUUUGUUUGUACUCUGAGCAGACUUUCUCUAUGUAUGGGAAAUUGCUCACAUGACUACACAUAAAAUAUAUUGAAAUGCUGUAAAACAAAACGUAACAGUUGUAUGACUUUAUUAUGUACUCCCUUUUCCUACAAACCUAACUUUGCACCGUCACUUGAAGCAAAUCCUUAGAAAACAGAGAUGCAGGUCAACUAUUCCUGUUGAUCAUUCUGCUUUGUUUUGAAAUCCUGGAUAGGUGAAAGAACAAAAAUUGCCCUACAAUUCUGUGUAGUUCCUCCUCCUAGCUUUCCAGUACUAACAGUGUUUUCAAGGGAACUUUGUCAGAAUUCACUUUGGUGGAUGGACAGAACCGAUUAAUGCAGCCCAGGUGUGUGAGCUAGCGAUUGUUUGGAAAACUACUGUUUUCCUAUGGACUGGGCUCAGGAAAUGCUGAAAUCCUGAAGUAUUGUUGGAAAAGUGUUUUAACAAAAAAAAAAAAUUGCUUUAUAGUUUCAUUCUCAAUGUUCCACAGAAUUCACCACUUCCUGCAUGGCUCUUUACCGCAGGGAAAAUGAGGGACUUUUGGGGGCAGAUGUGUUUCCAUUACACUAUCAUAAUGCCCCUAAAAAUCCUUAUUGCUCUUGCAGUAUUCUUCUGUGUUGCUGGGCCUGGUGUGAGCUACUUGAAGACCUAGCUUCUAAGUACAGCUUCUCUCUAAAAACACUUUCAAAGAGCAACUGAUUUUCUUUUAUUUACCUUAUUUUUGGUUGCGUUUAAUGUUGCUUAAAAUGUAAUUGCAAGAUAUGCCACCACCUGUUGAUAAACGAAUGUCAUUAAGUCAUAAAUGGGAGGGACAUGCUGAUAACUGCACGGUACCUAGCAAAAGGAACAUAUUUUGGCAUAAGGGUGAGUUGCACUCUGCUGGUGCAAUGAGCGUGUUUUUAACUUAAGAAUUCAGUAUGUGUGUCUAAAAAUGUGACACAGAUUUUUCACAGAUUUGAAUGACUUUGUUAUAGUGGACCUCACUCAGAAUGUUAACUGCUUUUAGGACCAUACUUCAGGCUUUUAAUCAAAUUAAAAGAUCUGCCCAGUAUUUUUAGUUAGAUUAAAGGCAUGCACACUCCAAUAUUCAAAUCACAUCCCCACACAGUCCCCAAAUAAAGAAAUUGAAGAUGAAACCUAGAAGAGACACUGUGAGUGCUCAGCGACAGUGUACUUUUUGCUCAGGAGGUGUUUGUGUGGGCAGGAGGAAGGGAUGCUGCUGGCCCUGCUGGGCGAUGCUGAGUCCACACUCCUCCUCAGGCACAGUUUAUUCCUGGUAGGCAGCAGAGUACUCAAAUUCUGCAAUUUUCCACAGUUUUCUUGAUGGAAAGGCAGAACACAUAAAUGUAAAUACCGUGUUUUUGUCUGGGCAUUGCAGCACAGUAUAUCAUCACUUCACAUGUGCAGUGCUAGUAGCAUUUAUUUCAGUAGCCACAUGUAGGGCUGGGUUGUGUAAAACGUAUUCUUGACUUCACUAACUAGCUUAGAAGAAAUAAUGAAUAUACUGCAUCACUUUGUCCCUUUGUCAGUGCCAAAUAUCUUCAAAGAGCCUUUAGAAUACUUGGUAACGUAGGAAAGAAACUAGAUUCACACACCUCUCCCCCAUUUUAUACUGUUCUAACCCCAAGGAAUUUUUCUUCUUCGUUUUCCUGAAGAAGUGUUUCUCAUUUUUUCAGCGGGAAAAUCUUACAGGUUAAGUCAUAUCCUGUAGGUCACAAGGGGAGCUAGCUGUUAUGACCAGAACCCCAAACCCUUGAUGCCCAGGUAGAUGCUGCAAUAAGAAAACCACUGUCUUGAAGGACUGAAUGAGCUGUGUUGCACAGUAUUGUGCUCACAGGUCAAAACAUGCUUACAUAUCCAUUCCAACGUGGAAAAGCAUUUCAGUAGCGUGUCCAGGCAGAAAGCAGUAGAAAAGCUAGACAUUGCAUUAAUUCUAAAUGUUCCUAUCACUACCUCUGUGUUUCUAUUUGGCUUGUUGAUUACAAAGUGAUUCCUGGCACCUUCUAACGUGAGUGAAAGGUGCUGGCUUGAGGCUUAUGCAGCUCUGAAAAUGACCAAAAGCACUUACAAAGUAUUAGAUAACUAAAUUAUUAAUAUUAUGAAUAAAGGUGUUUGUUCAGUAAACUUUUAAUUUCCAAGUAAUGCUCCAAAAGACUCUGUGGCUGAUGUGUUAAAAACGUGUGAGACUGCACAGAUUCUGUCAUGUUCUGCAGUAUUAAAGAUCUGCAGAGGGAUUACUCCCAGAGCUACAAUUUUUAUCACCUUUAUAUAAAACAGACUUAAUGGGAAAAGACUGGGAUUCUAAUUAUUUUUUAAGAGUCUUCUGGGGAACUGUGCUUGUGACAAUACUAUAUAAAGAGCAGUGCAAUAGUUUUGAGCAUUAAAGCUGAUCUGAUUUUACAUUUGUUCUAUGUUAUUUUCUCAUGUGACACAUAAACUUUUAAGAAUAUCAGAAAAAAUGUGUUUUUUAACAGAAGCCAUUUUUCAUACAACUGUCUGGAGAUGCAGCCUGUAGAUUUCAACAGCUGAUUCUUACAUACACACAUACUUAGAGUCAGAGUCUUUAGACUGUAGCAAAAUUAGGAUUUUCCCUGAAAUGUGCAUAUGUAAAAUGUGUUUAUCACAUUACAUCACUGUCAAGAAAAAUAUUUCUUCAGAGCUAGCAGUCCUGAGAAUAAAUUUAAGGAGGGGAAUCAAGAUACAGUGCAGUGCACUGCUGCACCUGCAUCGCAGAAGAGCUGCUCAGGAGAGCUAAGGUAUGUCAUGUAGGCACUUCCACAUCCCAGGGAGGUGCCAAGGGCCUUCGGUGGGAUGAGGCAAGGUGAGCUACUGCAUGCACUUUGCUAGGCACAGUGAGGAGUUGCAGCCAGCAGCUCCCUGCAGAACACUGAUUCCUGUCAUUUGGGGCAGCGGCUCAGGGCAAGUCCGCUCUGGCUUUAACCACAAUAUCUUCCCAUACCAGCUUUAUCCCUAUCUCCUCCUUUGCUGAUUAUCCUGUUAAUAAACAGAAACUUCCAAGAAUUAAAAAAAAAAAAAAAAAAAAAACCAUAAGGUUGCUGUUUCAAGGCACUCCUGCCAGAAAGAAGACAGCCACAGCUGCAAUUUACUGAUAACGUACCUUGUGCUAACAUCCCACUAUGGCAUGCAUGCGUGAAAAAGCUACACCAAUUAGUGAAUUCAAGUCUCUUGAUUUUCUCCAAAAGCAGGACACUCAGUACAGUGUCCUGAAACACAGAUGCUCAUACAGUGCAGGGGGGAAUGAAUGCCUGCCCUUGCUGGGGCUGUGCAAUGCUUUGGCACUGCAGCAAGUGCUCUGUGAACGUGGUGGGGGCUGGAGGGCACCAGUCCAGUGUUACCGUUGUUUGGUGGGUCUGGUUAUGUUGAUUUUUUAUCAGAAGUGACCUGCAAGCAGGCAAGAAAUGGAGAGCUGCUGCACUGUGUUUCUGCUUGCCUAUAUCCCUAAGAAAACGUCCCUGGUCAGUGUUAAUUCUGCACCAUAUGUAACAAUACCUGUAACAGCAAGUUUAUCUUAUCUUAAAAGUUAACUUUUCAAGUGCAGCGUAAUAGUGGAUAGCAUUAUCAUUUAUAUGUAUCCCAAGGACAUAUUCUCACUUCUUUUUAUCAAUAUCACAGCAAAGAGGAAAGAGUACUUUCCUGUUUCACCUAUGAAACACUGAACAACACUUCUGUUUUUCACACCAGCACAUCUAAAUGCAAUAGGGGAUUGGGACUUUGUUUUGUCAUUCUGCAGAAUGCUGACGUAUGUGUUUGGCAUUCAGGUGUUAGAAAAACUGGAAAGAACAAAGGAUAAUUUGCAUGUCUUUUGGAUUUUUUUUUUCUUCAAGCUGUAGCUAUUCAUUAGCAAUCUUUAGCAUUGGAGUUUAGAAAAUGUUGUGCUUACUCAUAUAAAAAAAGACAUAGGAAUGAAAAACAGAACAGCACAAACUGGAGUCCUGUUAGGCUGCAGGCCACUGCCAGGGUCUUUCUGCAGGAGCUUUCUGUUCUGCUGAUUGCUUUGAGUGGGGCAAAAAGAUAAACAUUUUCUUGUGGCAAAUGCUGCCACACGUGACAAGUUGAUAUGCAGUAUCAAAAGUUGUACCAGGGGCUUAUUAGUUCACUCGAAUAAGACGGAAAUGCGAGGAAAAGUUUUGUGCAGCUGAAAAAUGAAAAAUAAUUCGUCAGUGCCCAAAUUGAUCUGCUGAAAAAAGACAUUUUUUGGCCUCAGUAACCAGAGCUUUCACUGCUAUGGACACUUUAUCUGUUGUCCUCAAUGAAUCAGCCUCCUUUGUACACACUACACCACUAUGGCUGUGGUAUGUGUUUUCGGCUGGUGCAGAUAGAGGAAUAUAAAUUCUAUACUGAUACGCAUAAGCAACUAUGCUACGCACAGGAUACAGUAAGCAGAAUUUGACUAGUCACUUCAUUAGAUGAAAAAUAAGCAUUUUCUGCUGUUUGUGCAGUGUCCACUUUGCGGACACUGGGGCCAUGUUUCCAUGUUUUUGCCUUUUCUAUUGAAAAUUAGGUACCGUAUUUGGAUAUGGCACAGAAGAGGUGCGUUCUGCUGCACACCUCUGUCCCGUGCUCCCUAAGUCCUUUCCUGACUGUUUUUGUUACACGGGUAUACACACCUUGAAACAGACUGUGUUUGUAUUGACAUUGUCACUAACUCUGUAUUUGAACUAAAAUUAGCAAAAAAUAUGUGAUUAGAGAUCCUGCCAUAUAUAUAUAUACAUAUAUUCCCUUACAUUCUCAUAAUGGUACACAGCAUGAUAGAACAAGGAGAAACAAAGAGAGAAUGCACAGAGAUUCAUUUUGCGCUGGGCUGUUGGCAGAAAUCUGAGAAACUGUGGCUGUCCUGGCAGCAUCCCAUCCUUCUUUCACCAAGGGGGGCAAAAGGAGUGUCCAGGAUGCAUCUCUAAAGGUCUGCUUCCACUUCUCACCAAGGCAUGGUGCACUGCUGAAACUGAAGGAAAAUUUUUAAAGAUUUAGCCUGUAAUUUCUGAAACUGUUUAAAGUAACGUUGUAUGGAAACUGACUUUCUUAAUGCAAUUUGUCUACUUUUUCUCCAAACAUCACAGAAGAGAAUUAAAAUUUAAAUGCACUGAUAUGUUUUACAGAAGAUCAAACAUUACUGUUAUUUGAGUAGUUUCUAGGAGCAGUGAUGGAAACUGCUUUAUGUACUGCAAUGAUUUAUACUUUUUUGUUGUACAAUUUGUUUAAUUCCCACUGCAACUCAACAGGAUUACAAAGGCAUGUAUGAAUAAACAUGAAUUUGAGAUGUUGCAACUGAGUCCAGGAACAUAACGAUGGUAAUUUUUCCCUGAAGAAAUCAGAUCAGAAGCUUUAAAUGUACAUUUUCCUCAACAGAACAGUUGGAUGUUAUCAAAAUUACUACUGUGCCUACAUGUGUCCCUUGCAGCAUCAUUCCCUCAUCACUGAUUUGCCAGCACAGCACUACCCAGAAAGGAGUUUGCUGUUACCUGCCUAUGCAGUCCCCACAAAAGCUGCUGCUGAAAAUUCUCUCCGUACCUAUCAGAUGUUUCUGCACUGUGAAUGCUAAGGAAAUGCUAAGUAAUUUGACUGCACGAUUUUUAAAGAAACCAACAGAAAAAUCAGAUUUACACAAUGAUUACAGUUCUGCUUGCUAAUAUUGAUCCUCCCUUUAAGGGAAAUUAAUGCAAAACAAGACUGGAGUUAUAAUGCACCAAUAAUGUUUUGCUUGUCUCAAAAAGUAAUGAUAGCUAGUGCUUUUGUAUCUUCUAUUUCCUUAUGAUCUAUUAAAUAUAAGUAGUUAAAACCCUAAAAUAAGAAUAAAGAGAGAUGACAGAGGUGGCAAGGCACCUAGAUGUGGAUCUAAAUAUAACCAAGGUUGUUUAUAUCAGUGAGCUCUGCCAAAGGAUAUGCGUUUAUGCAACUUUCUUGGUCGGGGAGUCAGUUUGCAAUGCUCCCAUGUGUUGUAUCCUUUAUUGCUCAUAUUUCAAAGGUAAUUUUUGCAAGAUUCUAAACAAAUAAAUAAAAAGCUAAAUUAUUAUCUCAGUUGUAGAAAUGGAGAAACUAUAAUAUUGAAGUUGACUGACUCUGUCAAGUAAAUGUUUAUUAUUAGAAAUAGGAUUCGAUUUCAUGUCAUCACUCCAAAUCUCACACUUCUUGCACUGGUGACCUACCAUAAAGAAAUACACGUUAAUGCAAUCAUUUUGAAGAGAUCGAUACCCAGGGAGGAGCUGUUUCCUGAAUUACCAGGUGAACGACUAAACAUUUCCUAAGGAUCACCCAAGACACUGAAGACAAAAUAUCUAUCGUUUUUUGUUACAGUUCAUAUUUCUGCUGCUUCUCAGACACGCUGUGAUUCAUCUCUGAGGAACACUUCACAUACUGUAGUUUAUUUUUCUAUCACGACACUCACAAUUUGCCAAAACUGCCAUUUCCCUUAUGCUGUUUGAGCAUUGCUAGCUCUGCAAUCAAAUGUAUACUGUCUGUUUCCAUCCCUGCUCUCUGUCUCAAUUAUUAUUUUUGUGAAGAUAAGAAAAUCCCAUUUUUACCAGUGGAGAGCCAGGCUGCUUAGGUCACAAGAUUCUCUUGGCUUAAUCCUUGAGUAUGAAUCACGAACUUUCCCUAAGAAGUACUGGCAUUCUUCAGAUGAUCAAGCCAGCUUACUAAGGCUUCCAGAGCUUUCCGCAUUAGCGAUCACCAUGUUUAAAGUAUCAAAAGCAGUAGCUGAUUAAGAAUUAAACUGUUUAUUCUUACUUUUCCCAUUUCCUCUGUUUCUAACUCUUAUGUGGCUUGGUACUGUAAACAGCUGUAAUGCAACUCAGUUAAAAGAAGUAAUAUGAAAAUAUGAAAGCUAUGAUGAAAGAGAUAUAUCAGACAAAAAUAUUUGUGUGAAAUACAAGAAACAGAGUUACAUUUUCUGCAGUACAUGGCUCAAAAAUAAUCUGCAUAUGUACACAUGGCUCCAGUUAACAAAAAGCAUUUUUCUCACAUUUAAUAUCAGAAAUGUUGGAGGUAGCCAAACAUCUAUUCUGCAGAUGAUUUACAACCCUUGCAGAAAAAAAAAAAACUGCACUAUUGAGACAUCAUAGUAAAUGUCAUAUAAUUCAAUAAGCGUUAUGUGAAGAAAUAGAUAAAAUGAAGAUACACCCAAAAAAUAUUUCUUGAGAUAUGAAGGUGGAAACAGAAUAUUCAUUCCAGAUGCAGAACACAGAAAAUUGCUGAGAUAGGACUGGACUCUAGUAAGCAUGUAGCCCUGGAAACAUGAGGGUCCUGGGCAAUUCAGGACAGGUGUUACAUUCCUGCACCACAUUCAAGUAUGAGAUCUGACAAAAGUAGACUGUUCACUUUGGCUACCAAUGAGAUUUUUCUAACUUUUACCAGGAAUAGUACUUCUUCAUAAAUGUGGAGUAAACUAUUUGAACAACAAUUCUUUCUUGUAUUAUUUCCAGAUUUGGUGAAAAACAUUAUAACAACUAAUGAAUACAUUAUACAGUCAUGCAAACUUCAAACUGA
rnacentral:lncRNA from 1 species